rnacentral:rRNA from 1 species
GACAGAGGUGCCGAGCGUUAGGCGGAAUCACUGGGCUUAAAGCGUGUGUAGGCGGAUCGUUAAGUACCUUGUGAAAUCCCACGGCUCAACCGUGGAACUGCUUGGUAUACUGGCGGUCUUGAGCCAGCUAGGGGCUACCGGAACAAAUGGUGGAGCGGUGAAAUGCGUAGAUAUCAGGAGGAACACCAAUAGCGAAGGCAGCUCGCUGGGACGUUACUGACGCUGAGGCGCGAAAGCGUGGGGAGCAAACAGG